CAUCGAUAGCUUCCGGAACAGCAACUGAUUUUAGAUGACCAUCAAGAAAUUCGUCUAAUUUCACUUUUUGGCCGUAAUGAGUAUUUUAAGAUACUGCAAGCAACAUAAGGAUGGAGUCAUGUGUAGAAGUUCACGUAAGUGAGGAAAGUUCUUUGAUUGCCAUUUACUUGGGAGUGACCAGAAACGAUUAUUUGACUAAUGGCUCAAGCAGCUCACCACUUCCGGCCUUAGACCAAGUAUCCUCUGGUGAAAAGUCGAAAUAUCCAUCACCAGAGUUGAUCACUGAGUUUGGGACUCGCCUCGUAAAAAACACCCGCAAUGAAAGGAAAACAACAGCCUCGUAUGAGAAACUGCACUACUGCAAACGCAUUAAGAAUUUCGAUUUAAGGGCAUGCACCUGGAAUGUCUGGUCCCUUAAUUGCCGUUGCUUAGCUAGUUGAUGUCCUCUUG